GGUCCCGUAGUGUAGCGGUUAUCACGUCGCCCUGUCACGGCGAAGAUCGCGGGUUCAUUCCCGGUCGGGACCG
rnacentral:tRNA from 1 species